CGCAUCCCCAUUUCAGCGCUGGGCAGCCUGGGAAAUGUAGUCCCUCCCCUCAGCCUUGAAACGGAAGGCGGGAAACAUCCCAGCGCUUAUCUCCUUAUUCAUCCUGCAAGUAUUAAUAAAAUAAUAUAUGUAUAUACAGUAGAGUCUCACUUAUCCAACAUAAACGGGCCGGCAGAAUGUUGGAUAAGCGAAUAUGUUGGAUAAUAAGGAGGGAUCAAGGAAAAGUCUAUUAAACAUCAAAUUAGGUAAUCAUUAUACAAAUUAAGCACCAAAACAUCAUGUUAUACAACAAAUUUGACAGAAAAAGUAGUUCAAUAUACAAUAACGCUAUGUAGUAAUGACUGUAUUUACGAAUUUAGCACCAAAAUAUCAUGAUGUAUUGAAAACAUUGACUACAAAAAUGUGUUGGAUAAUCCAGAACGUUGGAUAAGCGAAUGUUGGAUAAAUGAGACUCUACUGUAUAUUCAAAAAUAUAUUGAAACACCCAUAUUAAGAGCAUGUGAAGGUUAUGUUUCAAAUAAGGCCAUUAUUAAUAUGUAUUUAAUAAGAUAAUAAUUUGAUAUAAUGUGUGAGAGGCUGAGGGAGCCAUAACAUUAGUAUCUAAGGCAGGCCUGGGCCAACUUGGGCCUUCUCUCGGGUGUUUUGGACUGCAACUCCCACCAUUCCUCACAGCCUCAGGCCCUUUCCUUUUGUCCCUCAGGCGCUUAAGCAGCCCGGAAAACUCACAAUGACCCAUUGAUUCCAGCCAUGAAAGCCUUCAAACAACAGAGAUCCCCUUAAGACCCCACAGCAGGCUGGUUUCAGGCAAAGGAAAAGAAGCACAUCACAAGUGCUGGACCUGACUCAGCACAUAGAAGAUGGUUUUGAAAGGCAACAGAUUACAGGAGAUGUCUUCAUAGACCUGUCAGCAGCUUAAGGGAUCUUCAAAAGGGAUUACGGAGUUUGCUCCUGUUUACAUUGACUGUUUAUCAGCAGAGACAAGCAGCUGCAAAAGGAUCGGCCAGACAAGAGUCCCAUUCUUUCCCAGAUCAAGCUUCAUUGCAUUGUUUACUGCAGGCAGAGGCCUGUUCUCCCCUUCAAGCGGCAGAUCACGUCCCCAUCGGAUCCGGCGAUCAAGUCCGUUCACGCUGGGAUAUCCGCUGGACCUCCAUCACCUGGAGCUGGAUGGCAGAGAGCUGCUCGAUGAUGCUGGUCAGCAGGGCCUCCUCGGCCCCUUCUCGUUCUCCAUCCUGUGCAGGAAAGAAGUGUGUUAAAGCGCUGAGCUGCUGAACUUGCGGACUGAAAGGUGCCAGAUUCAAAUCCCGGGAGCAGAAUGAGCACCCGCUAUUAGCCCCAGCUCCUGCCAACCUAGCAGUUCGAAAACAUGCAAAUGUGAGUAGAUUACUAGGUACCGCUCUGACGGGAAGGUAACGGCACUCCAUGCAGUCAUGCCGGCCACAUGACCUGGAGAUGUCUAUGGACAACACCGGCUCUUCGGCUUAGAAAUGGAGAUGAGCACCAACCGCCAGAGUCGGUCACAACUGGACUUAACGUCAGGGGAAAACUUUACCUUUGUUUAUUGAUGUAUUGUAUAUAUUGUAUAUAACCUCGCGGUUUUUAAUUCCAUAUUAUAUUAAGUGUUUUUUUUUAUUUCUAUAGGUUAAUGUUUAAAAUUUUACAAUUUGUGUAUGUCUUUUGUUUCUUGAUGUAUUGUGUAUUGUUAUUUUUAUCUGGUAUUAUCUGUAAGCCGUCUCGAAUCCCCUUCAGGGGAGAUGGAGACGGGGUAUAAAUAAACUUCUUCUUCUUCUUCUUCUUCUUCUUCUUCUUCUUCUUCUUCUUAUUAUUAUUAUUAUUAUUAUUAUUAUUAUUAGACAGCCAAUUAUCUCACACCAGAAGCAACAUUAUAUUUUACAUGCAAUAUUACUAAUAAUAUUACCAUACAUUGAUAUAGUACAAUAUAGUAAUUUAUUUGCAGUAUUGUACUAUGCUAAUAAUGUAACAUUGUAUGUAAAUUUAAUUUGUAAGCCGCUCUGAGUCCCCUUCGGAGUGAGAAGGGCGGCAUAUAAAUGUAGCAAAUAAAUAAAUAAAAUAAAUAAACAUGCAGUAUGUUCUCACGUUGCUUCAGCCACAAUUUUAAAAAUGGCUGUUACCGUGUUUCCCCGAAAAUAAGACAGUGUCUUAUAUUAAUUUUUGCUCCCCAAGAUGCACUAGGUCUUAUUUUCAGGGGAUGUCUUACUUUUCCAUGAAGAAGAAUUCACAUUUAUUGCUGAACAAAAAAAUGAACAUUUAUUUUAUACUGUACAGUAGUUGUCAUCACAAACCAGCAUAACCAGACAAACUGUGAAUCCUAUCAAGAAUUUCUUGUUACUACAGUAGAGUCUCACUUAUCCAAGCUAAACGGGCAGGCAGAACCUUGGAUAAGCGAAUAUCUUGGAUAAUAAGGAAGGAUUAAGGAAAAGCCUAUUAAACAUCAAGUUAGGUUAUGAUUUUACAAAUUAAGCACCAAAACAUCAUGUUAUACAACAAAUUUGACAGAAAAAGUAGUUCAACACGCAGUAACGUUAUGCUGCAAUUACUGUAUUUAUGAAUUUAGCACCAAAAUAUCACGAUAUAUUGAAAACAUUGACUAUAAAAAUGGCUUGGAUAAUCCAGAGGCUUGGAUAAAUGAGACUCUACUGUACCACUAUUUCUAUGUACAACAAUCUAUGGUACGUACAUUUACCAAUCCUGCAUGCUCUGGUGUUCUGUUUGGCGGGCAUGCUUCCAAACAAAAACUUGGCUAGGUCUUACUUUCAGGGGAGGCCUUAUAGUUAGCAAUUCAGCAAAACCUCUACUAGGUCUUAUUUUCAGGGGAUGUCUUAUUUUCGGGGAAAUAGGGUAGGAAAGUUGGGAAGUUUUGAAAUCCAAAACACCUGGAGGGCCAAAGUUUGUCCAGGCCUGGUGUAGACGCAGUCUUUGGGGAAGUGUGGACUGGAGGGGAUUUGGGGUGCAAGAGCUCCCUCCAGCUUCUCUGCAUUUCUUGUGGGAAGGACAGGUGGGUCUCUUUGAGGCGGCUGCCCCAAACCUGAGCAAACAGGUUCCUCCUGAGCCUCUGCGAGCAAAGUGACCUUGCCGCUGACUUCCCUCUUCCUUCUUCCCAGCCACAGAUGGAGCCUGAACGGGAGCCCUGGUACUUUUCCAUCCCUCCUGCCCUUGUUUUGCAAGGAGACCGCGCCGCACGUUCUCUUUGGAUGUAAACAGUAAGCCAAAACCUUUGGCAACAUGGAGCCAAAGUUCACUGUGACGGCUGACCCUUGACGUUGGGCUGCCCGAGGCAAAUGGUAUGUGCACUCCACCCGGCCCGCUUCUUCCCUAGAUCAAGGUAUAAUGAAGAAUGUGGGCACGAGAGGUCAUGCCAUUUCCCCAGCACUUCUUUGCCACCCUUCCCGGAGCAAACACGCGCGCAUAAUGCACCGAAGGACCGCCCCGAGGAGUGCCGCCCUCCCAAGGCACCCGGAAUCUGCCGCCCGAGGCCACCCUCGGCCUAAUGGCAGGGCGGGGUGUCCCAUUUUAGGGCAAGACGGGGCAGGAUCCCCGGAGACGGGGCACGGAAACAAGUCGAAAUGGCCCAAAAGGGUGGCUUCUCCCCAGCCUUGGAUUCUGGCAAACCAAUGGAAGGGAGUUCUGAGAAUUGUAGUCCAAACAAAACGUUGCUUUUCCGUGGAGUUUGCCAGCAUUCCAGUUACUUCCAGCUCUGAACUGGAUCUCAGUCAGAACCCCAUGAACCUGAACCUCCAUGUAAGGAACAAGAGUGCCUCUGAGCUUGCAUUGAACGUACAAUGCAAUACAGUACUGUAUGUUUUUGAAUAUUUACAUCAAGCUCAAAUUUAAGAUAAGACUGUCCAACUCUGAUUAAAUCGUUAUGCUCAUCUUCAAUGUAAAUGUGCUUAUGUAUCCUUUUAAUAAUAAUAGACUAAAAUAAUACAUGUAAUAAUAAUAAUAAAUACAGGAAAAUAAUACAUGUAAUAAUAAAUAGAGUAAAAUAAUAAAUGCAAUAAUAAUAAUAAUAUCAGAGUGAAAUAAUAAAUGUAUUAUUAUUAAUAAUAAAAAUAGAGUAAAAUAAAUGUAAUACACUAGAAUCUCGCUUAUCCAACGUAAACAGGCCGGCAGAACGUUGGAUAAGCAAAUAUGUUGGAUAAUAAGGAGGCAUUAAGGAAAAGCCUAUUAAACAUCAAAUUAGGUUAUGAUUUUACAAAUUAAGCACCAAAACAUCAUUUUAGACAAUAAAUUUGACAGGAAAAGUAGUUCAAUAGGCAGUAAUGCUACGUAGUAAUUACUGUAUUUACGAAUUUAGUACCAAAAUAUCAUGAUGUAUUGAAAACAUUGACUACAAAAAUGCGUUGGAUAAUCCAGAACGUUGGAUAAGCGAAUGUUGGAUAAGUGAGACUCUACUGUACCAGUGAAUAAUCAUGGAAACCAUUUCAGAAGCCAGAAUUGGGAUGGGGAGAGAGGCAUUUCUCUGCAUGUCGUAAUGCUUUGAGCGUUGGAUGUGAGGUUAGGGUUCGAAUCCCUGCUCAAUCAUGGAAGCCCACUCGAGUGGGUCACUCUCUCUCAGCCUCAAAGGAAGCCAAAGUCAAACUCCACUGGGACUGGGUUACUGUGAGUUUUCCAGGCUGUCUGGCCAUGUUCCAGAAGAACUCUCCGAUGUUUUAUUUAUUACAUUAGCUCAGGGCUCCUCUCAUCCCAAAUUGACCUCAAAACGAAUUUGUGGCACUUUAUCUAUGUUUCUGAGUUCGCAACUUAUAAUGUGCACUUUGCUAAUCUAUCAUUGCAACCUCACUGUUUUUAAUUCUAUGUUGUUUCAUUUUCUGAUCAAUGUUUAAAUAUUAUAACUGGUACAGUAGAGUCUCACUUAUCCAAGCUAAACGGGCCAGCAGAAGCUUGGAUAAGCGAAUAUCUUGGAUAAUAAGGAGGGAUUAAGGAAAAGCCUAUUAAACAUCAAUUUAGGUUAUGAUUUUAUAAAUUAAGCACCAAAACUCCAUGUUAUACAACAAAUUUGACAGAAAAAGUAGUUCAAUACGCAGUAAUGUUAUAUUGUCAUUACUGUAUUUACGAAUUUAGCACCAAAAUAUCACGAUAUAUUGAAAUCAUUGACUACAAAAAUGGCUUGGAUUAUCCAGAGGCUUGGAUAAGCGAGGCUUGGAUAAGUGAGACUCUACUGUACAUGUUAUUGUUUAUUGAUGUAUUGUACAUUGUUAUUGUUUUGUAUCUGAUAUUUCUGUGAACCGCCCAAGUCCCCUCCGGGGGAGAUGGUGGCGGGAUACAAAUAAAAUUAUUAUUAUUAUUAUUAUUAUUAUUAUUAUUAUUAUUAUUAUUAUUAUUACAUCAUUUCUACUCCGCUCUUCUCACCCAUCAGGGGAGUCAGUGCAUUUUUGCCCACAUCUAUGGCAGGCAUCCCCUGAGGUUGUGAGGUCUGCUGGAAACUAGGCAAGUGGGGUUUAUAUCCCUGUGGAAUAAUAUUCAGGGUAGAAGAAAGAACUCUUUAUCUGUUUGAGACAAGUAUGAAUGUUGCAAUUGGCCAUCUUGAUUAGCCUUGCAGCUUCAAAGCCUGGCUGCUUUCUGCCUGGGGGAAUCUUUGGUUGGAGGCAUUGGCUGGCCCUGAUUGUUUCAUGUCUAGAAUUCCCCUGUUUUCAGAGUGUUGUUCUUUAUUUACUGUCCUGAUUUUAGAGGUUUUCAAUACUGGGAGCCAGAUUUUGUACAUUUUCAUGGUUUCCUCCUUUCUGUUGAACUUGUCCACGUGCUUGUGGAUUCUCUGUGUAGUCUGAUGUGGUGGUUGUGAGAGUGGUCCAGCAUUUCUGAGUUCUCAAAUAAUAUGCUGUGUCCAGGUUGGUUCAUCAAGUGCUCUGCUAUGGCUGAUUUCUCUGGUUGAAUUGGGGACGAGAGCGGCCUUCUCAGUAGUGGCUCCUCGGCUGUGGAACUCCCUCCCUAGUGACAUCCGGCAGGCUCCAUCCUUUUUGAGUUUCAGAAAGAAAGUGAAGACCUGGCUAUGUGAGCAAGCGUUCAAAGAAUAAGUUUUGUUGGCUUCAACUUGGUCUGGACUAAGGCUUAUGUACAAGUUUUUUGUGGAUGAAUGGCUCAAGUAUUUUGUAUUGUUUUAAAUCUGUAUUUAACUGCUUAUGUUUUUAUUCUUUUGUAUUGUUGUGUAUUGGCAUCGAAUUCUGCCAGUUUUGUAAGCCACCCUGAGUCCCUUCGGGCGAGAAGGGCGGGAUAGAAAUGAUGGAAAUAAAUAAAUAAAUAAAUAAAUAGUCUGCAGUGCCUUUCAUGUUCCUAUGGUGGUCCCUUGGUAGACUUCUCCACAGCUGCAAAGUAUACCAUAUACUCCUGGAAAGUGUACCAUAUACCCCACUUGCCUCACUUCCACAACCUCUGAGGAUGCCUACCACCAGGUAAGGCUGGUGGGAACGAGGGACAGGGCCUUCCUUCUCGGUGGUGGCUCCUCGGCUGUGGAACACCCUCCCCAGCAACAUACGGCAGAUACCAACUCUCCUAGGCUUCAGGAAAGCCUUAAAGACAUGGUUGUGCACGCAAGCUUUUAAUGAAUGAGAACAUGGACUUUACUUGACCUGUACGAAGACUUGAGGAUUCUGGAUGAAUGUAUUUUAAUCUUGGACAUUCUUAAAAUUUUAUAUAUUGUGAUUUUAUUUUGUAAUGGUAUCUGUUUUAUAUGAACUGUUGUUUUGUAGAUUGUUUUAUAUGAAUUGUUGUUUUUACAUUGUUUUUAGGCAUUGAAUUUUUGCCUAUUUACUGUAAGCCGCUUUGAGUCUCCUUGGAGAGAAAGGCGGGGUAAAAGUGAUGUAAAUAAUAAAUACCAUAGAUGUGAGCGAAACGUCAGGAGAGAAUGCUUCUCGAACAUAGCCAUUCAGCGUGAAAAACUCAUAGCAACCCAGUGAUUCCAGCCAUGAAAGCCUUCAACAAUCCAUUGGGACUAAUGUUGUCAAGAAAAACCUGUGAUCAUUUCGUCUUAGGGUUGGCCUAAAGUUGGUAAUGACUCAAAGGCACAGAAUGACAAAAGACAACGACGAAGGAACCGCCUUCCUUGGGCAGAGCCCAAAUCCAGUGCAUUUCCCUUGCCAAGUGACCCCUUUCCUCCUCCUGGCAGCCAAUAUGGCCCAGGCGACAGGGCCAGAGAGUCAUCCCUGGGGUUCCAGGGGUUAACCCCAAACCAACGGGACAAUGUGUUGUCGAAGGCUUUCAUGGCCAGGAUCACAGGGUUGUUGUGUGUCUUUCGGGCUGUGUGGCCAUGUUCCAGAAGCAUUCUCUCCUGACAUUUCGCCCACAUCUAUGGCAGGCAUCCUCAGAGGUUGUGAGGUAUGGAGAAAACUAAGCAAAGAGGUAAAUAUAUAUCUGUGGAAAGUCUAGGGUGAGAGAGGUCAGGGUGAAUGUUGUGUAGUUAAUCACUUUAAUUAGCAUUGAAAAGCUUAUCUGCUGUCUUCUUCCUGCCUCUGGGGCAUCCUUUGUUUAGAGUCGUUAACUGCCCUAGGUUGAUUCAUGUCUGGAAAUCCUCUGUUUUCAGAGUAUUGCUUAUUAUUUACUGUUCUGAUUCUUGAGUUUUUUAAUACUGGUAGCCAGAUUUUGUUCAUUUUCAUGGUUUCUUCCUUUCUGUUGAAGUUGUCCACAUGCUUGUGGAUUUCAAUGGCUUCUCUGUGUAGUCUGACAUGAUCGUUGUUAGAAUGGUCCAGCAUUUUUGUGUUCUCAAAUAGUAUUCUGUGUCCAGGCUGGUUCAUCAAAUGCUCUGCUAUGGCUGAUUUCUCUGGUUGAAUUAGUCUGCAGUGCCUUUCAUGUUCUUUGACUCUUGUUUGGGCAAAGCUGCGUUUGGUGGUCCCCAUGUAGACUUGUCCACAGCUGCAUGGGAUCCGGUAGACAAUGUUUGGGUGUUGAGCCAGCUGGGCAUGAGGCGUAUGAGUGCAAGAAACCAGCCUUGCUGGUUUGGAUGGGAUGGUGCCUCCUUGGCCUCAGGGCACCGGUCUGGAGCAGCUGGCAGCGAGGAAGGAAGGACGGACGGAAGGAGGAACCCAGCCAAAAAAGUAGGAGAGACACAGGCCUUCUCCCUGCCUGCAAACCACUGCCUGCUGCUCCUCCUCCUCCUCCUCCAAAGGGUUUAUUCUUGGAGCUGCCUCUCUCUUCCACUCCUCCACGUGCCAAGAUUCCCACUUUUGGGGGGAGGAAGAGAAGGAUGAAGUCGUCAUGCUCCCCCCCCCCCCCCCCGCCAUGGGCCCUCCGCCCCUUCUCCUCACUGGCUGCUCCGUCCUGCCAUCCCCUUCGCAUAAACACCGCUAAGAAUAGCCCCGUCAAAUCCCAAAAGGAAUGCGGUGGGUGCCAGCUCGAACCAGCCUCGCUCCUGCGGCUUGGCCUGGCCCCGGAUGGCCACGCUCCCUGCUCCUUCGCCCGGGUUCCCCUCCAAAGGGAGGAGCGGGAGGCCUUCUCCUGCACGCCAAAGCCACCAAACAGGAGCAGAGAUGUACACGGGGAGGCAAGCAAGAGAGGGGUGGCAGGGCAGAACCUUCCCCGUCCGGGCUCAACCCUAGGUCUGGUCAAGGUUGGGGGUCAGAGAGCAUACAAGAAGCACUUUUUACCUUUGUGAACUUGAUAUAGACAUAGGGUCUACUCCCAUCCCAAUUUGCACUUCCAAGAAUUUGCUUCUGGAACAUGGCCGUACAGCCCGGAAAAUUCACAGCAACCCAGUGAUUCCGGCCAUGAAAACCUUCGACAACACAUUAACCAUACCCAGCUCAUAAGGCUUGGCUUCCAAACCUUUGACUUUUUGGUCACUCUUCUUGCAGCACUUUAUCAGUUACCUCGUGUUUACAAUAUCUAUAUGGUGCACCUUACCCAGUCUACUUUUACAACCUGUCCGUUUUAAUCCAUAUUUUUAUUAGUUCUUGUCAUUUGUUUUUAUUGGCUAAUGUUUAGAUUUUUAUAAUUGUGCAUGUCUUUUGUCUAUUGUUGUGUUUUAUAUUGCUAUUGUUUUUAUUCGGGCUUGGCCCCAUGUAAGCCGCCCUGAGGCCCCUUUGGGGAGCUAGAGGUGGGGUAUAAAAAUAAAGUUGUUAUUAUUAUUA